rnacentral:rRNA from 1 species
CCUACGGGAGGCAGCAGUAGGGAAUCUUCCACAAUGGGCGAAAGCCUGAUGGAGCAACGCCGCGUGGGUGAAGAAGGUCUUCGGAUCGUAAAACCCUGUUGUUAGAGAAGAAAGUGCGUGAGAGUAACUGUUCACGUUUCGACGGUAUCUAACCAGAAAGCCACGGCUAACUACGUGCCAGCAGCCGCGGUAAUACGUAGGUGGCAAGCGUUAUCCGGAUUUAUUGGGCGUAAAGGGAACGCAGGCGGUCUUUUAAGUCUGAUGUGAAAGCCUUCGGCUUAACCGGAGUAGUGCAUUGGAAACUGGGAGACUGGAGGGCAGAAGAGGAGAGUGGAACUCCAUGGGUAGCGGUGAAAUGCGUAGAUAUAUGGAAGAACACCAGUGGCGAAAGCGGCUCUCUGGUCUGUAACUGACGCUGAGGUUCGAAAGCGUGGGUAGCAAACAGGAUUAGAUACCCCAGUAGUC